rnacentral:rRNA from 1 species
GACGAACGCUGGCGGCGUGCUUAACACAUGCAAGUCGAGCGGAGCGGCGAACGGGUGAGUAACGCGUGAGUAACUGCCCCCCUCUCUGGGAUAACAGUUGGAAACGGCUGCUAAUACCGGAUAGUGGGGGAUGACUCGCGUCCUAUCAGCUUGUUGGUGGGGUAGUGGCCUACCAAGGCGACGACGGGUAGCCGGCCUGAGAGGGCGACCGGCCACAUGAGGAUGAGAUACGACCCAAGCUCGUACGGGAGGCAGCGGUGGAGAGUAGUGCACAAGGGGGAAAACGCUGAUGCAUCAACGCCGCGUGCGGGAUGACGGCCGUCGGGUUGUAAACCGCUUUCAGCCAUGACGCGGUAGUGGCAGAAGAAGCACCGGCUAACUACGUGCCAGCCGCCGCGGUAAUAC